ensembl:lncRNA
AAAAAACCCGCUUUCGGCGGAAAGAUGCAAAGAACCGAGGUCAGGCCGUGGCUGGCAGUCAGAGCCGUAACCAGGAGGCCCGGCUCUGCUCGCGAGGAGCGGGGAAGCGAGCAGAGGCCUCGGAGGGGAUGUAAACCAUUUGAAGUUCAUCAACACGGUGAAGUUUUAUUGUAUUUCCGGUCCCCAAGAUUUAUACCCGGGAGGGGGAGCGGGCGGCUCCGCAGACUCCUGAACCCCCUCGGACUUCCCCGUCUGACACGUGGCCGCUGGGACCCCGGCCUCCCGGACGAGGCCGGGAGGGAGCCGGGCCGGGCGGGACAGGACCGCUGGCUCCGCGCCUGCCGCCCCUUCCGACGGCCGCUCCCGCCGCCGCCGCCGCCAAGAGUCACCUCUCCUGAGAAGAUGACAAGACUUCCCAAACCUGUCACUUUGGAAUUAUUCCCACCCUCCAGCUUGUUUGUGAGCAAAAGCUAAGUUUUGGUCUCUGAAG